CACUAAUGAGGUUUUGCUAUAGUGUUAAAUAUGAAACCCACAAGGCCACAACUGAAAUUCUAUUGAAUAUCUAAUCAUAACAAGUUUGGGACAAGGGUGCAUGAAGCGAUUGCACUAGAAGAGUCUCAAGAAUUCCCAGUGGGGAUUGUCAUUCAAGAAAUUUGCCAUGGCUUUUUACUUGGUGGUCGACUUCUAAGACCAGCAAUGGUUAUUGUCUCUAUGGGCCUGGCAGUAAGAAAACUGCUGUGGCCACUGAAAAAUCAUCAGGGUCACUUGCAACAGCUGCAUCGGUAGAGAAUUGACAAGUUUUUGUGCAAAAGCCGAGUUAGAUGUAGGGAUGAUGAAACAGGAUUGGGAUUGUAAGUUGUAAUGGGUAAGCAGUUCAAAAUCAUGAUGAAAAGCAGCUUGGUGGUCUGGACUUUUAUCUCACCGGCUCUCCUUACUCCAAGCUUGCCAUUGUACUUGUCUCUGACAUUUUUGGUCCUCACCCACCACUUCAAAACCCAAUAUUUUUUCAUUUGGUGGUAGUAUUCUGCUUUUUAUAUCAACUAUUUGAUAUGGGUUAUGUAUGGUGGAACCGAUGGUCUUUGUGUGCUUUUGCAUCUUUGAUUUGGUGGGUUGUGAUUUUCAGGUUGUCUAUGUUAGUGGGUUGCUCUGUACAUCAUUAAUUGGCUUCUGAAAGAAUCUAUAUUGGACAUUUACCUUUUGCCUUUCUGGAUCAUAUUCUUAUUUUUUGUUUCAUUUCUUGAUAAAUCAAUAAAACUAGCCUUGGUAGUGUUGGAUUUUAGCCAUGAAAUGUGUAUUUUCAACUGCUCUGUGACAUUAAAGCUUUAUGUUUUUCUGCCUGUGUAUGAGGUUUGCUUGUUUUCUUAAUGUACUGGAUAUCCCUGUGUCCCUAGUUCUUUCUUCUUUCUUUCUUGUUGAUGUUUUCACUCUCCUUUCAUCUUUGUGGUCUUUGUGUGAUUUAAUAAUGGUGCUCUUUUGCUUCCUUGGGGUUCAGCGUAACAGGUAAGUAGCAGAGAAAUGGACAGAAGUGAAAUUAUUGAAGCAGCAGACAAUCUCACAUUGCAGAUACCUUGCCCUCUGUCAAUUGUUGCCAUUGCUAUAUAUCAAUGGCAACAGAAAACGAAUAAGUAGGCACUGGAGAAGUUUAUUCCUGAAGGAAACAUCUUUUUCAAGUUGAUACAUGUCCGAGCAAGAUUAACUGAAAUUCAACUUCCCAAUAGGGAAUUUGAUUCCUAUUUCAGAAGUAUAAGAUGUAAUAGCUGCAUAUAGAAGGACGUGGAGUGGCAGACAAGUGAGCUGCUUCUUCCACACUAGAAAAUGUGUGCUCUUAAGAAGGUGCAAGUUGAUGUUGUAGUCAUUGAGUCAAAUAAUGUGGCAAAUGCAAUAGCAGAGGAGUUUCUAGGCCUGCUAUAAACAAUACUGUAAUAGGUGCCCCAU